GGUGAUGGACUGUGAUGGUGCUUGGUGGUGGACUGGUAAAGGAGGGAGGUGACGGUGACGGUACGGUGAUGGUGAUGCUCGCAGGUUUUUGGUUUGAACGCAUAUACAUACGGUUUGAGAGGUGGUGCCGUGCCGCCGCCCGCGCGAGCGCCUAUUGAACCAUGGCGAGGAAGGUGCUGGUCGGAGCCGAGGUCGGCACCGCCGGCGCAGCCGUCGUCGCUGCAGCCGGUGCUGGUGCGGUGUUGGUGCCGCCCGGGUUCGGCCUCUGGAACUGUAUCCUGUACUGCAUUUUGCCGUCGUCCUCGCCUUCCUCGCCGUCGUCGGUGUACUCGUCGCCCAUGUCGUCGCUGUCCGUCUCGUCCUCCGUCGUGAACUCCCGAGGUGGUUGCUCGUUCAACUCCCUGACGAUGUCUUCUGGCUUCACAGCAAGCACAUAUCCUGUCAGCCUGCGUCUAUCGAUCGAGCACGAAACGACAGAGGGGACGAAGAAGAAAAAGGUUGG
rnacentral:lncRNA from 1 species